rnacentral:rRNA from 1 species
AUACGUAGGUGGCAAGCGUUGUCCGGAAUUAUUGGGCGUAAAGCGCAUGUAGGCGGUGCCUUAAGUCUGUCGUGAAACUGCGGGGCCUAACCCCGUAUGGCGAUGGAAACUGUGGCACUUGAGUGCAGGAGAGGAAAGGGGAACUCCCAGUGUAGCGGUGAAAUGGGUAGAUAUUGGGAAGAAAACCGGUGGCGAAGGCGCCUUUCUGGACUGUGUCUGACGCUGAGAUGCGAAAGCCAGGGUAGCGAACGGGAUUAGAUACCCCGGUAGUCCUGGCCGUAAACGAUGGGUACUAGGUGUGGGAGGUAUCGACCCCUUCCGUGCCGCAGUUAACGCAAUAAGUACCCCGCCUGGGGAGUACGGCCACAAGGCUUAAACUCAAAUGAAUUGACGGGG